rnacentral:rRNA from 1 species
UACGUAGGGUGCGAGCGUUGUCCGGAAUUAUUGGGCGUAAAGGGCGUGUAGGCGGUUUGUCGCGUCUGCCGUGAAAGCCCAGGGCUUAACCCUGGGUCUGCGGUGGGUACGGGCAGACUAGAGUGUGGUAGGGGAGACUGGAAUUCCUGGUGUAGCGGUGAAAUGCGCAGAUAUCAGGAGGAACACCGAUGGCGAAGGCAGGUCUCUGGGCCACUACUGACGCUGAGAAGCGAAAGCAUGGGGAGCAAACAGG